rnacentral:rRNA from 1 species
AGAGUUUGAUCCUGGCUCAGGAUGAACGCUGGCGGCGUGCCUAAUACAUGCAAGUCGAACGAGGUGCUUUUGUAGCAAUACGAAAGUAUCCUAGUGGCGAACGGGUGAGUAACGCGUUGGUGACCUACCCCAAAGUGUGGGAUAACAGUCCGAAAGGAUUGCUAAUACCGCAUGUGGUCUUCGGAUUUAGAAACUGAUGACUAAAGGAGCAAUUCGCUUUGGGAGGGACCUGCGUCCCAUCAGCUAGUUGGUGAGGUAACGGCUCACCAAGGCGACGACGGGUAGGGGACCUGAGAGGGUGGCCCCCCACAAUGGAACUGAAACACGGUCCAUACACCUACGGGUGGCAGCAGUAGGGAAUAUUGCACAAUGGGCGAAAGCCUGAUGCAGCAACGCCGCGUGUGCGAUGAAGGCCUUCGGGUCGUAAAGCACUUUUCUGAGAGAUGAGAAAGGACAGUAUCUCAGGAAUAAGUCUCGGCUAACUACGUGCCAGCAGCCGCGGUAAAACGUAGGAGGCAAGCGUUAUCCGGAUUCACUGGGCGUAAAGCGCGUGCAGGUGGUUCGGUAAGUUAGGCGUGAAAUCUCCCGGCUCAACUGGGAGAGGUCGUCUAAUACUACCGAACUUGAGAGCAGAAGAGGAAGAUGGAAUUCCCGGUGUAGUGGUGAAAUGCGUAGAUAUCGGGAGGAACACCAGUGGCGAAGGCGAUCUUCUGGUCUGUUUCUGACACUCAGACGCGACAGUUAGGGUAGUAAACGGGAUUAGAGACCCCCGGUAGUCCACGCCGUAAACGAUGUCAACUAGCCGUUGGGUCUUUAAAAAGAUUUAGUGGCCGGCUAACGCAAUAAGUUGACCGCCUGGGGAGUACGGCCGCAAGGUUAAAACUCAAAGGAAUUGACGG